UACAGAGGGGGCAAGCGUUGUUCGGAAUUACUGGGCGUAAAGGGCGCGUAGGCGGCCUUCUAAGUCGAACGUGAAAUCCCCGGGCUCAACCCGGGAACUGCGUCCGAUACUGGAAGGCUUGAAUCCGGGAGAGGGAUGCGGAAUUCCAGGUGUAGCGGUGAAAUGCGUAGAUAUCUGGAGGAACACCGGUGGCGAAGGCGGCAUCCUGGACCGGCAUUGACGCUGAGGCGCGAAAGCCAGGUGAGCAAACGGG
rnacentral:rRNA from 1 species